rnacentral:rRNA from 1 species
GAACAUAAGAUGCGUUCUCCGCAUAAAGUCUAGCUAUUUAGGGUUUAGGGAUUAUUGGAUUAGGGGAAAGGGACGCGAGAAAGAAGAAGGGCGCAGGAACGACGAGGUUUCUAAAAGCGAGCUAAAUCCAGAAGCUAAAGCGGCUAAGUAGGCGGCCACGGCCUAUACCGCACGCAGCUGUAGGUACCGUACUCGCACUGCGAGUGCAACCACCUGGUCGACAGCGUGCGGCACUUCUUCUCUAGGCGGCUGCUCUUAGAACAGGAGCGGCUGCUCAGGCUCCGGUCACCUACCAGAAGCCGCCAGAGGCUGGCGUCCGAGCGGGACGCGGCGGCCGCUCCAGGCCGAAGGAGAAGGACGGCGGCGCCGACGUAGCACCACUGCCUCCCCGGCCUGACGGCACGGCUCCUCCGCCAAGUCGUCCAACACGACCCUCUUUAGCUUCCGCGGGUCGAUCGACGUGGCCUCUAGUUCCGAAGGAGACAACUCCUCGACCAGAUGACCUGUCAUGAGAUU